rnacentral:lncRNA from 10 species
GGAUGAUGUGUGUGGAUUUUCAGUGUGUGUUUCAGAGUCUUAAAAGCUCAUGCUAGCUUGCUUAACAUACCUGCCAUAACUCAUGAUAUAGAACCCUAUGGAGAACUGUGUUGCAACAUGGAUGCAGUGCCUAUACUAAGGCACAUUGCCAAGCUGAAGACUGUCAGAGAGCAUCACUAACGGAGGACCUAGUUGUCUCACCUGUGGUGGUGGAAAGAGCACCAAGCUUGGAACCAGAGGGCCCAGGUUCGGGUCACUGUCAUCAUGUGAGCAUGGGCAGGUGUAUGUCUUCCCUAGCAGGCAGAGAAACAAACAGCACAAACUAAGCUUGACCUUGUUGGAAAUACAGUUUAUCCACAGAGUGAAUGUUGGCUAAAAUUUAAUCUUAUGACAUCAGGAAUGUUCAAAGUUUACACAGGAGGGCCACUGUCAUAAGGACGCCUGGAAGAGUGAAGAAAGGCCUGAUUGAUCACAAGGUCCUAUCAAAUGUCAAAGCUGGCCCUGGCUGACCUCCCAUCUAUUCAGAGCUGCUUUGAUUUAAUCUCCAAACUGGCUGCUUCUCCAGGCUGUGAGUUCUAUCUGCAACCCAUGUGUCAGCAUUGAGAUAUGACCUGCUUCACGCUCCAUUCAUCUCAUUUGAAGGACGGAAAUUAAACUCGAGGGUCGAAGAGGGGAACUGCUCAAAAUACACACACACAUUAACUGAAGCCUUUUGUGGAAGAGAAUUGAAAAUUUCAAGAAGGCAAAGGUGAUGGAAGUGUCUUCAUGAGACCCUUGGGUAACAUAAAUUGGCAAAGAAUUGGAUGAUCUGGGUUCUAAGAUCUGGCCUUAAAACUAGCCA